GAUGAACGCUGGCGGCAUGCCUAACACAUGCAAGUCGAUCGGUAAGGCUCUUCGGAGUACACGAGAGGCGGACGGCUGAGUAACGCGUAGGAACACACCCUGCAGUGAGGGAUAAGACACCGAAAGGUGUUCUAAUACCGCAUACGGUCUUCGGAUUAAAGCAUUUAUGCGCUGAAGGAGUGGCCUGCGUCAUAUCAGAUAGUUGGUGAGGUAAUGGCUCACCAAGUCGAUGAUGUGUAGCUGGUCUGAGAGGAUGAUCAGCCAGACUGGAACUGAGACACGGUCCAGACUCCUACGGGAGGCAGCAGUGAGGAAUAUUUCACAAUGAGCGAAAGCUUGAUGGAGCAAUGCCGCGUGCAGGAUGAAGGCCCUCGGGUUGUAAACUGCUUUUAUAAGAGAAGAUUAUGACGGUAACUUAUGAAUAAGGGACGGCUAACUACGUG
rnacentral:rRNA from 1 species